rnacentral:piRNA from 1 species
UAAACUCACCAUGUAUGAUUUGUGGUCUUU